GCCAUUGAUGGCUUUUAGCUCAGUCGGUAGAGCAUGAGGCUCUUGAUCUCAGGGCUAUGGAUUCAAGCCUCACAUCGGGCA